UACGUAGGGUGCAAGCGUUUGUCCGGAAUUAUUGGGCGUAAAGAGCUCGUAGGCGGUUUGUCGCGUCUGCUGUGAAAACCUAGGGCUUAACCCUGGGCCUGCAGUGGGUACGGGUAGACUAGAGUGCGGUAGGGGAGACUGGAAUUCCUGGUGUAGCGGUGAAAUGCGCAGAUAUCAGGAGGAACACCGGUGGCGAAGGCGGGUCUCUGGGCCGUAACUGACGCUGAGGAGCGAAAGCAUGGGGAGCGAACAGG
rnacentral:rRNA from 1 species